rnacentral:rRNA from 1 species
GUGCUUAACACAUGCACGUCGAACGGAACCUUCGGGUUUAGUGGCUCACGGGUGAGUAAUGUAUAGCUAACAUGCCCUUUAGAGGGGGAUAACAGUUGGAAACGACUGCUAAUACCCCAUACUCCUUCUUACUUAAUGUAAGUUGGGAAAGUUUUUUCGCUAAAGGAUUGGGCUAUAUGGUAUCAGCUUGUUGGUGAGGUAAUGGCUCACCAAGGCUAUGACGCCUAACUGGUCUGAGAGGAUGAUCAGUCACACUGGAACUGAGACACGGUCCAGACUCCUACGGGAGGCAGCAGUGGGGAAUAUUACACAAUGGAGGAAACUCUGAUGUAGCAACGCCGCGUGGAGGAUGACACAUUUCGGUGCGUAAACUCCUUUUAUUAGGGAAGAUAAUGACGGUACCUAAUGAAUAAGCACCGGCUAACUCCGUGCCAGCAGCCGCGGUAAUACGGAGGGUGCAAGCGUUACUCGGAAUCACUGGGCGUAAAGCGCAUGUAGGCGGUCUUGUAAGUUGGGUGUGAAAGCCUAUGGCUCAACCAUAGAACUGCACCCAAAACUACUAGACUAGAGUCUGGGAGAGGAAAAUGGAAUUAGUUGUGUAGGGGUAAAAUCCGUAGAGAUAACUAGGAAUACCAAAAGCGAAGGCAAUUUUCUGGAACAGUACUGACGCUCAGAUGCGAAAGCGUGGGUAGCAAACAGGAUUAGAUACCCUGGUAGUCCACGCCCUAAACGAUGAAUGUUAGUCGUCGGGAGGCUCGUCCUUUCGGUGAUGCAGCUAACGCAUUAAACAUUCCGCCUGGGGAGUACGGUCGCAAGAUUAAAAACUCAAAGGAAUAGACGGGGACCCGCACAAGUGGUGGAGCAUGUGGUUUAAUUCGAAGAUACGCGAAGAACCUUACCUAGCCUUGACAUUGAUAGAAUCUGAUAGAAAUAUCGGAGUGCCAGUUUACUGGAGCUUGAAAACAGGUGCUGCACGGCUGUCGUCAGCUCGUGUCGUGAGAUGUUGGGUUAAGUCCCGCAACGAGCGCAACCCUCGUCCUUAGUUACUAACGGUUCGGCCGAGGACUCUAAGGAGACUGCCUUCGUAAGGAGGAGGAAGGUGAGGACGACGUCAAGUCAUCAUGGCCCUUACGGCUAGGGCGACACACGUGCUACAAUGGAUAGGACAAUGAGACGCAAUACCGCGAGGUGGAGCAAAUCUAUAAACCUAUUCUCAGUUCGGAUUGUAGUCUGCAACUCGUCUACAUGAAGCUGGAAUCACUAGUAAUCGUAG